AUGAACGCUGGCGGCGUGCCUAAUACAUGCAAGUCGCGCGAACAGACGAGGAGCUUGCUCCUCUGACGUUAGCGGCGGACGGGUGAGUAACACGUGGAUAACCUACCUAUAAGACUGGGAUAACUUCGGGAAACCGGAGCUAAUACCGGAUAAUAUAUUGAACCGCAUGGUUCAAUAGUGAAAGACGGUUUUGCUGUUACUUAUAGAUGGAUCCGCGCCGCAUUAGCUAGUUGGUAAGGUAACGGCUUACCAAGGCAACGAUGCGUAGCCGACCUGAGAGGGUGAUCGGCCACACUGGAACUGAGACGCGGUCCAGACUCCUACGGGAGGCAGCAGUAGGGAAUCUUCCGCAAUGGGCGAAAGCCUGACGGAGCAACGCCGCGUGAGUGAUGAAGGUCUUCGGAUCGUAAAACUCUGUUAUUAGGGAAGAACAAAUGUGUAAGUAACUAUGCACGUCUUGACGGUACCUAAUCAGAAAGCCACGGCUAACUACGUG
rnacentral:rRNA from 1 species